AGGUCCCCUCGGUAGCUGGGAAGGCAUAAGCAUGUGAAAGAGUCGAUGGCAUCCAGGCAGGUGGCUCCAUUCAGACAAGGGCUUGAGUGGCACUCAUCAAUGUCUGCAAGAAACCAAGGGCCACCAUUAGCACUGCAGCCUCUUUCUGCGCAGCCAUCUGGCCGCUCCUGGAGCCCUGGGAAGGUGGCUGGGUUUCCUGAGAGCUGUUGCUGCUGCUGCUGCUGCUGCCACCAGUCUCUUGGAAUGUUGAGCCAAAGGUCCACCAAAGGGCUUUCUUGGAUGUGUAUGGUUCUUGACUGGCGAGCUUGGAGCACGGGAGCCGGGUUUCUCACUGGUCUGUUGUGUGAGUGAGUAUGAACUUCCUUCCAGAUGCCUUUCCUUGAGUAUUUCAAGAAGUUACAGGAUUUGAACUGACCAAACACGGUGGAGAGCAAGAAUGCUGGAAGUCAUGCUCCUCAAGUCUGACUAGGGCAUUUUCUUUUCCUAGUUUUCCCCUGUUGCUAUCAAGCAAGGAGAGAGGGCCAGACUGGGCAUAGCUACAGUCAACAAGCUAAAAGUGGUGUGCAGAGUUUCAGACCAUGACAGAAUGGUAGGCAGUCUCAUGAAACUUAUUUGAUUUCUUGUGGCACAGACACGUUCUCUGUCAUCAAUAAGGUCCCAGAGCAUCUUGCCAAGAUGAAGCCAGCAUCCUUGUCUUGGGGAGGGACAGAAACCCAUGGACUGUCCUUACAGCUAAAGGUCCUAGAUGGUGGAAACCGCCAGUAAGUCACAGUUUCUACAAGAGCUCCAUCCUAGGGUGACCCAUAUCUGAAGCAGGUGAAGUUAAGUGGCUGGUCACCAUACCAAACCCGGGGUGUAGGCAGCUCCCCACCACCUUCUUCCCAGGCAGGAUGCCCUUCCAGUCUCAUCUUCUGGCCCCAUAUGUUCUUUCUGAUCAGACUUACUUGUCUUAUGAAACAGAGACCAGAGCCCCAGGCCAGCGUAUGUGGUACCAGUGAUUCAACCCAGAUCUCACUCAUGCAAGUCUUGUGCUUUCCCGCUAAGCCUCCUCCCCAGCCUGAUCAAACUUCUUGGUGAAACUUGAUUGGUAAGUCGCUGGUCUUUAUUCCAUUUUCAGCCAUCAGCCAAGGUGAGACCUGGUCUUUCCACAUAUUUCUGUACUUUCCACAUCUGUUUGUACCCUACAGGCCGGUGCUGGAUUUUUCUGGGUUAUGUCCUCUGGGAAUGUGACAUAAGGAAUUCUGAAAUUCCUCUUCCCAGGAGAGGCAUGAUUCUGCAAAGAAUGGGUUACGUGGCUUAGGAAGCCUCACCAUGAGAGGUGGUGUUGGGCCUUGGUCAUGUAAUCUUCACAUAACCUUAAAGCUCCCCCCCAAAGCCAAUGGUGGGCUCCAUGUGAGCUGCAUGGACUUCAGUCUUGCUUCUUCUGAACCUUGAAAUCACUCCUCUGAUGAGAAGACAGAGCAUGUUCUCUGGCUGCUUCAUACAGAUGCACAGUAGACGUCUUCUAGUGCAGAUGACCCAGAAUCCGCAGAUGAGGACGCCAGGGCAGCCCUAGACCCUGCAGACCAGCCAGCCUUCACUCCAGGCAUGCUCUGCAGCUGCCCGGGACCCAGAAUGUAUGUUUUGCCGACCCAGACAGGGCUCUCUAAGCCUCCCUCUAAGACAGGCACCUGCCACCCCAGGUCCCGGUCGGGUGUGGGAGGGGGAGGUCUGUGUGCAGAGGAGGCAGUGCUCACCAGAAUGCCUCUUUCUGAGGAGCAGACCGAACCUCUCACAUCCUGACCCCAGGCCUUCUUCUGGGGCAGCCUCUCCCAGGAUGGAGACUGAACUCCACUCUUCAUAAAGGCGCUGCUGGAAGAGUGUGCGCACAGGCCCUGGACUGUAAGAGUCCAGAAAAUCACUGCCCCUCAAUGGUCAGGACAAGACCUUCCUCAGGGGCCUUUAUACAGUUGGGAGGUUCGGCGUUCUCAGUUCACACAUGGCCCUUCCAUGGGCAGAACCCCAACUAGGCAAGGUACACAGCCAGCUUUGCUAUUGCCUGUUUAUAUAUACAAAUAUAUCCACUGUAUAAGGGCCAAGUAUACAGCACAUUUACGUUAUGUGUGUAUAUAAUAUACAGCAAAGUGUUAAUGUGCAUAUAUAUCAAUAUAUAUAAACAUAAAAUCCUUCUUGUGGGAUGCAAAGGCUGUUAGUUAGUCUAGCUGUCUGGCACAAUUCCCCUGGGGGGUAGUAUUUCCUGUGAUUCAUUCAUUGCUCCCUUUCUCCAAGUGUCCCAGGAAUGAAGUUCUUUUGGAAAGGAAUCCAAGCUCCCUGACUCUGCUGACUCCAGACAGAAACAGGGCAGGACAGGGCAGCGGGGAGGCUGACCCUAGAAUGUGAGCUUGGAGCACUACUCAGCUCUUGGCUGUAUCAGACGUGGAGCGAGCCUGUGACCUUUCGCAAAGCAGUCCGGCGCGCUAUGGAUGUCCUGUCUUUCAGACCCAUGACCACUAAUCUUUAUGGGUGAGUAACUCUGCCAAGUGUGAUGUGGAGUGCUUGCUUUCUACGCACCUAUGUCCUGGUUAACCUUCCAUACUACUAGUCUCUGAUGGGACUCAGAGAGAAGAUACUUGCGUGAGGCUGCACAGCUCAUCCGGGGCGGAGCAGGGCUUGGAACCUGGAAUCGACACUGUCUCUGACCGAGUUACAAUCUGAGCCCCCAAACAGAUUUAAAGGAAACAUACAAAACUCCAACAAUACCUGUCAA